GUCUGUAGCUCAGUGGCAGAGUACUUGCCUAGCAAGCAUGAGGCACUGGGAUCUAUCCUCAGCACUACA
rnacentral:tRNA from 1 species